AGGAGAGGGCCGGACGAGAGAGAGAGAGAGAGAGAGAGAGAGAGAGAGAGAGAGAGAGAGAGAGAGAGAGAGAGAGAGAGAGAGAGAGAGAGAGAGAGAGAGAGAGAGAGAGAGAGAGAGAGAGAACUAGAUGUGAUCUAGCAAAUUUCAAGAUCUACUCAUGGAUUAGACUAUUACAUCGGUUGCUGUUGGAUGAAUCAAAAUUUAGAAUUUACAGGAGAAAGUUAAGGGUGCUGGGAGAUUAGGGAACACGAGAACCCCACUCAUUCCCCACCGUCCGAUGAUCCUUCGACGUGCAAGGUCAGCACUUAUCAUCCAAAGUACCGCAUAUAUAUAUUUUUUCAUUUGAAAAUAAAAAUAUUAUUUGCAUUUUGAAAAAUACUAUUGAUAAUUUUAAUUAUUAAGUUUUUUAUAUUAAAUCAGAAUUAUAUUAUCAUGAUUAAAUGAUAAAUUUAUUUUUUAUUUUUAAUUAACAAAUUAAAAUUAAAGGGUAGAAAUUAUCAUGUAAUAUAUGAAAUAAAAACUCUGAAAUUCUAUGGCAUUUUUUAGAGUGCUGGUAGUACCUCCUUUUUUUAAGUAUUUAUUUUUUAUUUUUAAAAAUAAUUUUAUGCUAAUUGGAUGGCAAAUUUUAUAAUAAUAUAUUGAAAAGGAAGGUGUUAUCGACAUUCCAAAAAAUGUCAAUAACACUCCACAUUUAUUUAUUCAGGCAUUAAUGACAAAUUUACUCUUUUUUUUCUAAUGAAAUUAUUAACUUUCUCUCUCCUUUUUUUUUUAUUUUUUAUUUUUAUACCUGUAAAGCAAAAGUCAAAAGAUAAAUUGUCAUCUAAAAUAUAAAAUUGUAGUACCAAUAUUUGUGAAGUACAAUGCAAUAGCACUCUAAUAAAAAUAUCUUGUAAUGUACAACUGAAAAAAUUACUUGUAAUUAAUAUAUAUAAUUAUUUCAUCAUCAACUCUAGAUUAUUUAUACGUAUUUUUUAUCUCUAAAAAAUUAAAGUUAAUAAAAAUUACUAACCCUUUUAUCAAUGAAAGGCCGCCAAACUUGGAUUACACUAUAAAAAAUAACUUAUUUGACAUCUCAAUGUAACUAAGGGUUCUCUCCUUAACAAGGGAUAUAUGAUGUUUACAAUGAAUAAUUGGAUAAUUAGUGAUAAAUAUCAUAGUAAAAUAUAUACUAGUGAUGUACCUAAGAAGUAAUUAUAUGCAUAAAAAGUAAAAACUAUUGAAAUACAAACAAAUUCGGAAUAAGUUAAGCAUACUAUCGAUCAAUUGAAGCUAAGAUAAGAUAUGGAUGAUCCCACAGUCCCGGGUUUGAUCCCACUUAGCUCAAGUGGUAAGAGUGUCUUAGAGACUUUGGUAACCCGACGGUCCCGAGUUCGAUCCUACUUGAGAGUUUAUCCCAGUGAAUUAAUAGGGUGUGUCAAUUGGUGGGCAGGUCUCACCCUCCUAGGGUUGGUGCCGCACCAAGGGGUUACAAAGUAAUGCGGUGGUGGCUUACGAGUCCCUGGGUUAACAAAAAAAAAAAAAGAUAUGGGCGACUAAGAAGAAGUAAGUUAUUGUUAUUAUUAUUAGAAAAAGUAAGAGUAGAUAUAAAAUAAUACCAUAAUGAUAUAAUAUAAUGAUCAUUUGUGCUCUCGUUAAAUAGAGAAUCCUUAGUAAUUUGGAUUGUAUCGUAAAUAUUUUGAACUCUAACUAUUAAGAUGUUACCCAAGAAACAAAUCUAUAAAUAUUUAUUCAUAAUAACCUUAGAACUCACAAUAAAAAAAUAUUUAAAGCAUAUUAUUUUUAAAAGAUAAGUUUCAUUUGAAUUUUUUUAUUGCAUGUCACAUUAUUUCUUAAUUUUUUAUAUGCAAAAAUAUAAAGAUAUUGUCUAAUUUUGGUAGAAACAUUAAAAAAUAAAAAAUGAUGUGAUUUUUUUUUCAUUAUUUUUAGUGUAACUAAUUGCCAUGAGUCAAACUACAAUUAAAAAAUAUAUUAUAUUCAUUGUAAGAAGAUGAGAAACAUGAGGGUAUAACUGAAAAGUUUAAUGAUUUAUAGAUAUUCAUGUUUGUACACAAAGAAAAAGAACAGCAAAAACAAAAAUAAAAACAAACAAAACAAAUACCAGAAGAAGAAAAAACUAUGGGUAAUUGGGUGGGGAAGCAGAGAAUCUCCCCAUCUUUUUCUCCCAAUUGGGCAGACUAAAAUUAAAAGUAAAUUAUUUGGAAAAACUCUAAGGCCAUGUAAGGUUGUAAUUUUGGAAUUUAUUCAUUGCUGUUGAAAUUUGGAAGCAAAUUUUUGUUUUGGCUCUUUGUUUUCAAAAAGCAAACAAAGCACUUCCAAAGAUCAGCCAAACCGCCCCACUGGUACAUUCCCCUAUCACUUUUCCGCACGCUCAGCGGCCGCCGCCGGUGCCGGGAAAUUUGCCGCAGGCCGCCAGAGAAGAAUUCGCACGUCCGAGCUCUUGUAACCCCAUGAAUAUAUCUUCCGACAUUACCAUGUUUGGGAUGAGAAGCCCAUAGUCGUCUUCACCGUCGUCCUCUUCACCAUCAACAUUGUGAUCAUGAUCAUUAUUAUCGUCGCUGGAGAAGACUCCCAUGAUUUUUUCUGGGUUUUCUUCGUCCUCGUUAAUGGGUUGGUCUUUCACUUUAUUGGGGUUUUGGCUCGAGGUGUCGUAUUCCAUGGACGCCGUCAAUGGGGUCGUUGGCGAGAGGCUAGUGGCAGGGACCGGCGAAUUAAGAGCAGGGAAAGAAAGCUUGGCGACGACAGAUUGAUCAGCAGGAUUCAAAAUUUCACUGGAGUUGAGUCUGGGCACUCCGGAAAACUUCCUGGAACUGCCGGAGAGGGAACUUCGGUGGGUCGGACGGGGAUGGGUGUGUUCGCCGGUGUAGGUAACGACGAACACGUUCGGAUCAGAGGGGCUUCGCUCCACUUGUUUCCUUGCAGCACACCCUUUCGAGCUGCUGCACCUGUAGUAGUUCCUGAAAUUCAAGACCAACAUCAUGAUGGGCACACAAUUUUCCAGAGAAAGCGUGGAAAAUCCGAAAAGACAAUAAAAUUUUCGGGGAAACGAGAGAAAACCCAUAAAGGGUAAACCUUGGAUGUGGCGAACCCUUGAUGGGUUUUUGCCCAUAUUUGCGCCACGCCCACAUAUCCGCGGACAGUCUCUCUGCAGAGACAUGCGAGACCAUCCUCUUCUGCUGAACCUUUCUGCACAAAAAUAAAAAUUGGAAAGCGAAAUAAAAUUUCAAAAUCUAUAAAGUUUGAAACUUUGAUCAUCGUCGCAUCAAAUCAUUGCAAAAUGAAUUUAAAAUUUGAGCACCUUCUUCGAAUUGGGCGAGGGAACAUAGGAGGGCUGGGGCGGAAGGAAAGUGGAGAGCUUGGGACAUGAUGAGCCUUCUGGUGACGAAAUUGGCGGUGCAGAACUGGCUGUGUCUGCACCGGUUGGGGCUUGUGCUCCGUGAAUUCUCCGAGGACAGAAAUGGCGGGGGAGGAGGUGUUUGGGUUGAUCUGAGUGACUGCAGGUUGAGGAAGCAGAGGACUCGGAGUGUAGGGCUUGUACAAUUCUUGCAGUUCCUUAAAAUGGUUAGUGUUUGUGGGUGAACUCUCCAAGGGGUCAGGACACUGAUGCAUAUGAUAUGAAUUUUUUGAAGUCGGGGAGCUAAAGCUCGGAAAAGGGUCUGUUCCCAAGUUGGUGGUGGAGAUGGUCGUGCCGCGGGCGGAGGAUGGGGGGAAGGUGGUGGCGCAACUUCUGACCACCGCCAGCAGAUCCCAGUUAUUAUCUUCGUCCAUGUAUAUAUCGUUAUAAACACACACACACGCCCGGGGGGGGGGGGGGGGGUGUGGUUAGCUAGCUAGUUUAGGCAGCUUGACAGAAACCCAAAACCUCCAUGGCCCGAAGGUUAAACCUUUCUAUUUCUCAGUGAAUAAGGGUGUUUGUUUCUCGCGAAAUGGGGAUCAAGGAGGAUCAGAGGACGGCGCUGACUUUGGAAGAGAAAUGUGCGUGUGUGUGUGUGAGAGGGAGAGAGAGAGAGAGAGAGAGAGAGAGAGAGAGGUGGGGGUUGGGGUGGAGCACUGACCGGGAUUUGUUUAUUAUUUAUAUAGGAAGGAGAGAGAUUGAGCUGGCUGGCUAGCUCCGCUGUCAAGAGGGAGAGAGUGUGAGUUUAUUAUUAUUUUUUUUUUUUUAAAUAAUUUUUCAUUUUUUUUGUGUUUACUGUUUGUGGGAAAAAUGGGAGAAAGGAAAUGGUGGCGUUGAGGAAAUUGAUGUGGAAAAAAUUCAAAUGAAUUAGUUUCAUGUGUCUCUCUCUAGGAAAUUAUUUAUUUAUUUUUAAGAUUGACUUUUGGGAUGUCAAAAGGGUGAGAGUGGGACCAUGGGUCCAUCAAUUACCCCUCGACACGCACGGAGCACGUGUAUCCCAAAACUCUUACCUCUUCUUGGCGGGUGCACUAGAGAAGAGUGAGACAUUAGGGUUAAUACAUAUUUUAUAUUUACAUUGAAUCUCUCUCUCUCUCUCCCCGUAUGUAUAUAUCAAAUAAUAAAUUUUAUAUUGAUAUAACAAUAUUAUUUAUUAUUGCAAUUCGAUAAUAUUUCAUUGAAAAAUAGUAAACUUAGGAGGAUGAUGCAUGAUGACUUUUGCUGAUGUUUAUAGAAUACCUUUUUAUAUUCUUAUUGGAAGAAAAUCUUAUUUAAUAAUUUAAAAAAAAAUGAUAAAAUUAGCAGUGUUAAAGCUUGAUAUUUAUUAUUGGCUCACAACCUAAUAGUUUAAACUUUUAGAUAAAGUAAUAAUCUAACAUAAUAUCAGAGUUGGUUACCAGAAGGUCCUGGAUUCUAGUCUCAUUGCCCGCAUUUAUUCUGUGGUAUUUAAAAAAAAAAUUAUCACGUGUUUAUCUCUACAUGUGCGAGACCUAAUAACUUAAACUUUUAGGUAAAGUGAUAAUCUAAUAAACGACAUGACACGUACACCAUGACUCUUGCUGAUCUUUAAGUAGGACUGUGUAUGAGAUGUUUGUGGUAUGCCUUUUAGUAUGGUGAUAUGGACUAGGGGAUACAAUGAGUCAUCACCACACUCGCGUCUAAGAAUUAAAAACGACAAUAUUAGUAUGCAGCCCACUCUUUUUGUGGGCAAUGUAAAACAUUUGGAAUUCAUCUUUAAUUAUAGCUCAUAAUGCUACACAACUUAAGCAAACUAUUGCAAUACUUAUGUAUAUACAAAUUUUUUAUAAGAUAGAUUUGAUAUCUUUAAAUUAAAACAAAAUUAGGAGGAAAUAGUUUUCAACAAUGACUUUAAUGUAUAGGUUAGUUCAUAAGACUAGAAAUGUAGAAAGAAUAAUGUGCCUUUUCUUUAAUAUUUUCUUUAUUUCUUUUAUUAAUAUUUUUGGUAACAUUCUUCAAUGAUGGGACAAUUAUGCCUUCAUUGUGGGUAUUGUUAUUUUUUACAUUUAUUUAUCUAUUAGUACUAGGGCAUAUCAGCUGUCCAGUUAGUAUUUCCUGAAUUAUUGAAAGCUUCAUGGUCUACCUAUCCAAGUUGUUAUAAGAUUGCAGAUUAAGUAAAUAUGUUCGGUCUCUUUUAAUUGAGUAACCCUAAUGGCUAAACUCACUGUUGUGUAAGAAGUAAGAUGAUCAUUUUUUUUAUAUAAUUUAGCGGAGUUAGCGAAUAUCAAAUUAGUGGUUCAAUUUAACUAAUCAUCUGAACAACAUCAAGUCGUAACCUGAAAAUUUUACUUUCCAUUCAUGGUCGUAAAGUUGAGAUGAUUUUUACAGUUCAGUUGCAUAAGAUUAAUGUAUUGAAAUAGGCUUCGAGUGUUGUUUAAUUCUAAUCUUCAUUAUAAAUCUUGCUAUUUGCUUUAUGUUUUAUUUCUUUUCCCAUUUGACUAUAAUUACCAGCUCAAGCUUAAUGGGCACGCGCAAAUUUUUAGUUUCUUUUAAUUUUUAAAUCAGCUAUCUUUAAUUUAAAUAAGGUAUUAUUUUUUAAAAAUAAAGGAGUAAAGUCCAUGUAUGGCAACCAUUUAAUUAAGAGAAUAUGUCUUCAAAAUGCACCCAUGAAUCAACAAUAAAUUAUUGGAGAUGAUAUGCACCCUAAAGUAAAUGUUUAUUCAAUGCGAAUCAACUCAAAAACUCGUUUAUCUUAACUUAAAUAAAUAUUUCACUCUUUUGCUUAUGUAAAUGAAUUUUUUUACCUUAACUUACAUAAAUAUUUUACUCUUAACUAAAAGAUUUUUCAUUUAGCAACAAUAAAUCUCCUUCAUGCAUGGUUUAUUAGAUAUGCUUUCUAAGAUGUGCCAUCUAAAAAGACCAUAUUAAUUAAGAUGGUGAUAAAUGAAUAUUCGCAUAACAUUUAGCCUAGCAAAGUAAUAAAUUAUUAUUGUUAUUAUUAAUUUUUGAAAAAAAAAUAAUAAUUUUCCUUCCUAUAUUUUAAUUUUAAUAAUUUUGUACACCCUUUUCCUCUCUUGACAAAAGUAAAAAUCUUAAAUUACUAAAAUUUAACUUUUAAAAUUAUAAAAUUAACUUCUUUGCGAUGGUCAACUCAUGACAAGAGUUUCGGAGCAAAACGAUAUUAAAUCAAAUGGGAGAUUAGUAUUUUUUUUAAAUAAAAAAUACAAUUAAAGGUGUAUUGUAUAGCUGGCUAAGAUUUAUGAGAUUGGCCUACUGGUUCCAAAUUUGGAUUGUUAUUUAUGAAGGUACCUAAGUAAACAAUCAUUCAAAAGACUAAAAUAUUGUUAAAGAAAAAAUAAAGAUAGUCAAAAAAUAAAAGUGGUACAAACCUUUUAUUGCUUAGUCAAUGUUAGCCCGAGGAACGAAUUGGCUAGUGAGCUCGAUACAAAUGAGUUAAGUCCCUCUUCCUUGGGUAGUCUUAUCCGACACUUUUGUUAUACCAAUCUAAGUUGCUUUAGUGCCCAAAAUAAGCAUACGCUAAGUUACUUGAUUCAUAAAAUGUUUAUUCUGAAAAAUAAAAUGAUUAUUAAUAGAAGAAUUUGAUAUUUUAUGCAAAAAAAAAAUGUUAUUGCCAUAAAAAAAUAACAGUGCAAAAUUUAUGAAUUCAUAAAUAGAAAUAGAUAAUAAAUAAAUAAUUUUAAAUUUUACUACUAAAAUACUUAAUUCCUUUCCUAGUCCGAAGGAAUAAUAUAAACUUAUGUCUCAUUGCAUUCCCGUCAUUGUUCCUUGUUCCGUGAAGGAAACGUAACCUAAAUGAAUCGAUAAAGAUUAGAAAAGCAUCCCAAUGACCAAUGUUCGGUAUCAUUAUUUUCAUUGUUAACAUAUUAAAAAUAUUAUAAGAAGAAAAUUAAUUCCUCCAAAACUCUAAUCACACGGUUGGGACCUUUCUGGGUCCCAUAUUAUUUGCACUAGCAACAUCACAAUUCUAUAAGUCCAUAUGAUAAUUUAAUAUAUUUUGAAGUGACUUACAAAUUCUCUAUAAAAAGGUAAAAAAAAAAAACUUGUAAAAAAUGGUGCCUCUAUGUAAAAUGUUAUAUUAAUGUUAUCACUUAGUGAUUGAGAGCAUAAAUUUAGAACUUGAAUUUGAACUUAUUGAGAUUUAGAAGAAAGUAAAUUUACUUUUACCAUUCAUACCAACACUAAUUCAAAUCCCAAAUUUCAAUUUCGCACUCACAAAUGUAUGUUAAAAGAAUUUGUAGCUCAUAUCAAAUCAUAUAUCUCCAAGAUCUAACUGUGUUAUCGUGGUAACUUUUAAUUUAUGAAUUCCAAAUUUUACACUAAAGGGAUGACCUAUUACGUGUAUCUAAGUACUAAAGAGUCAUUUUAUGCUUAAAGGAUUAUAAAUUUCGUGGGAAAGAUUUCUUUAUGUUGUUCUUGCAAUAUUAAAGUAGAACAUGAGUAGACCCCACAUUAAUAAAGGGCAAACAAAUAUUUCUUGCGAAUUUAAUAGUUACAAGCAUUUUUUUUUUUCAAUAUAAAAUGUGGACCGAGGAUGGGGCCACCAGCCCAUAAAUACAUUUUCUCUCUCCAAUUUAAUUGAAAGGUUGUGUGCACUAGUGAGCGUGGGCUGGGCAGGCCCACACAAGUGGGUCGUGCAACCUAAACCGUUCGAUGAUAGACCACUUUGUCACGUCAUAGGAUUUCAUGGGCCCCACCGAACCCCCAUAGUCACACGGACAAACGCAGAAGUGAACGAGCGAGUAGAGAGAUGUUUCCAUAGUUUUUGUCACAUUACAAUAUUUGUGUUUUCAAUGUAUGAUAUCAUCGCCAUGAAUUAUGAACCGUUGAUGCAGAAUUUGAUGAUUAGAAGAUAUGCUAACACUGUAUGAGUGUAGCGCAUGGGAAGAUUAUAUCUCUUGACCAAGGAAGGAAAUUUUGUAAAUGAUAAGAAAGACAUAAAUAUUUAUGUUGCUUAGCUAAUAAUUGUUUGACAAGUUGUUAAUUCUCUUAUAGAGCAAUAUAAAAGAGGAAUAUUAUGGUUGACUA